rnacentral:rRNA from 1 species
CCUGCGGAGGAUCAUUAUUGAAUGAACUUGGUGUGGUUGUUGCUGGUCCUYUYGGGGRCAUGUGCACACCYGCCAUCUCCAUCUCUCCACUUGUGCACCUCUUGUAGACCUGGACAGACUUUCCGAGGCAACUCGGUCGGGAGGAAUUGCUGCCGCUUUGCGUCAGCUUUCUUKGMAUGUCCAAGCCUACGUUUUUUCAUAUACCCGUAGUAUGUAACAGAAUGUAUCAUUUGGGCCUCAGUGCCUAUAAACCAUAUACAACUUUCAGCAACGGAUCUCUUGGCUCUCGCAUCGAUGAAGAACGCAGCGAAAUGCGAUAAGUAAUGUGAAUUGCAGAAUUCAGUGAAUCAUCGAAUCUUUGAACGCACCUUGCGCUCCUUGGUAUUCCGAGGAGCAUGCCUGUUUGAGUGUCAUUUAAUUCUCAACCUUAUUAGCUUUUGCCGAUAAUGGCUUGGAUGUGGGGGAUUMUUUUUUUGCUGGCUUCUUUCAGAGGUCAGCUCCCCUGAAAUGCAUUAGCUGGUUGCCCCGCGUGGACCGUCUAUUUGGUGUGAUAAUUAUCUACGCCGUGGAUGUCUGCAAUUGGUUUUGGCACUGCUUCUAACCGUCUAUUCAUUUGGACAAUACAUGACAAUUGACCUCAAAUCAGGAGGA